rnacentral:rRNA from 1 species
UACGGGGGGGAGCAAGCGUUGUUCGGAUUUACUGGGCGUAAAGGGCGCGUAGGCGGUCAGCACAAGUCAGUUGUGAAAUCUCCGGGCUUAACUCGGAAAGGUCAACUGAUACUGUGCGACUAGAGUGCAGAAGGGGCAACUGGAAUUCUCGGUGUAGCGGUGAAAUGCGUAGAUAUCGAGAGGAACACCAGUGGCGAAGGCGAGUCUCUGGACGACACCUGACACUGAGGCACGAAAGCCAGGGGAGCAAACAGG